CCUACGGGUGGCAGCAGUGGGGAAUAUUGGGCAAUGGGCGCAAGCCUGACCCAGCAACGCCGCGUGAGGGAAGAAGGUUUUCGGAUUGUAAACCUCUGUCCUAUGUGACGAAGGAAGUGACGGUACCUUAGGAGGAAGCCACGGCUAACUACGUGCCAGCAGCCGCGGUAAUACGUAGGUGGCGAGCGUUGUCCGGAAUUACUGGGCGUAAAGGGUGCGUAGGCGGUUUUGUAAGUUGGAUGUGAAAUACCCGGGCUUAACUUGGGGGCUGCAUCCAAUACUGCAGGACUUGAGUGCAGGAGAGGUAAGCGGAAUUCCUAGUGUAGCGGUGAAAUGCGUAGAUAUUAGGAGGAACACCAGUGGCGAAGGCGGCUUACUGGACUGUAACUGACGCUGAGGCUCGAAAGCGUGGGGAGCAAACAGGAUUAGAUACCCUAGUAGUC
rnacentral:rRNA from 1 species